rnacentral:rRNA from 1 species
AUUGAACGCUGGCGGCAGGCCUAACACAUGCAAGUCGGGCGAGAGGCGGACGGGUGAGUAAUGUAUGGGGAUCUGCCUGAUGGCGGGGGCUAACUACUGGAAAAGGUAGCUAAUACCGCAUACCAUCAGAUGAACCCAUAUGGGAUUAUCUAGUAGGUGAGGUAACGGCUUACCUAGGCGACGAUCCCUAGCUGGUCUGAGAGGAUGAUCAGCCACACUGUGACUGAGACACGGCCCAGACUCCUACGUGAGGCAGCAGUGGGGAAUAUUGCACAAGGGGCGCAAGCCUGAUGCAGCCAUGCCGCGUGUAUGAAGAAGGCCUUCGGGUUGUAAAGUACUUUCAGUCGGGAGGCUGUACCGACAGAAGAAGCACCGGCUAACUCCGUGCCAGCAGCCGCGGUAAUUC